UUAUGAAUCAUGAGAUAGUGAUAUGAGCACAACCACGACAUUCCACGGCACGUAUUAAGUUUGACCCACUUGAGCACGAAACCCAUUAUUUGAGCUAUGGCUAGAUAGUUAAAGCUUUAAACAGCCCAACAAAGCCCAUUAAAGCAACAAAUCCACACCUAUAAAAGCAACACAAAGUGAUCAAAAUUAGGGUAAAUGGAAAGAACAAGAAAGAGGCAAGGAGAGGCCAUGGGAGUUUCUGAGGACCGUUUGCCACUCUCCGCUUUGCCGAUGAUUUCUGCGACCAAAUUAAACGGCCCUCAAAUCACCAUCAUCAACAACAACAACAACAACAAUUAUACUAGUUUAAAACAGCACAUACUCCGCCCUCAGCAUAAGUUUGCUGCAGGAGGAGGGUGGUUUGUAAUAUAUCUGUAACUGUAAGAAGCCCCUCGCAGAGGAUCUUGCUUUGUUUAGACUGGUUAUAAUUCUUGUGAUUCCUUACUUUACAGAAGCGAAAGUUCCGCUAAAAAGAACUGUAUCUCCCUUGCAUUGUUUUUAAAGGGAACUGGUUAGACUUCCUUUCUUCCACCCUUCAUCUUUACUAUGUUUAUAACCUUUUUUUCGGGGUGGCAAAAUAGUUGUUCGGUUUGAAUUAAUUUUUAUCAGGUCUUAUUAGGGCGAUGAGUCAUUCAGUUUGGAUUACAUAUUAAUAGUGUUGAAAUUAGCUUGUUAUGAUAUAAAUCAAUAGUGUUCAUUUAUAUUCGGUUUGGGUCAGGUAAAAUCGGACAAAUCAUUUUGGGUAUGGUUUGAGAAUUCGGAUCAUAUAUGGGUCAAGUCUUGAAACCAGCCUUUUCCUAUCCUUUACAAGAUUAUACUAGAAAAUAAGAUCAAAUAGAAUGUACAACUCAAAGAACCUUCCCUCUCUUUUUGUGUUUGCCUUUGAUUAAACAAUAAUUUACCAAAGUAAGCUUUAGUAUGGAGAUUAAUAUUAUCAUAACCAAAAGCCAUGGUUCCAAAAUGUCACGCUGUUCUUUAAGUUAUCGCCUUUUUUAACUGCUAAUGAUUUGUGAACAAAGCAGCACAAUAUCUUACUUUCCUCCAUUUUCGGCGCGUUUAGGUGGUGAAAGUUGUUGCUAAUCAUCUGUUAAGAAUAUUCUUAAUCAGGUCUGAUCAUCAGGCUCUACCUUAGCUAUGAACUGAUGAUUCUGGGCAAAAAUAAAGGUGGUCAUCAACUUUAAGCUCAGAAUGUAACAACUGAAGCUGUAAUUUAGUGUCUUUUAGUGUGAUUUGUGUUAAUUUGGUGGGACUAUGAGUUGGCAAAAGUUCUGAAGUUUGUUUAUAUAUUUUGGUUGAUUUGGGUGUUACAUUAUCAAUUUUAUUAUUAUUAUGCAGGUCCAAUGAUUAUUCGAGUUUAUAUUGUAGGCGCAAAAUGACAAUUUACUUAAAUUUACAGGUUUAGAAGUGAUACAUUAUAGGGUAUUAUUAGCGCGAUUUGUAAUUUUACUUGUUUGUAUUAAUAGCCUCUUAUUAUUGGGAAAAUCUACUUGAUGUUAUGUUUCAACUGAAACUUUGUACGAAAGAGUAUAAAAUAUCUUUAUUAAACUUUAAUGGCCUUGUUUUUUAAGCGGUAAUUAAUGUCAUUGGCCCUAACAUUCACACCUUUUAGAAAACACUAAAUAGAUGUGAAUGCUAGGGACAUGAUUACCUUUCACUAAAGGCCCGUCGGACAUGAUUGUUGUCAAUGAUGUAAUUUUGUUAGAAAAGUCUAAUCAUAACAUUCAUCGCGAUGGUUGCUAGAUUAUCAUUCCGCCUAUCACUACUUGAGGGGCGGUAUUGAGUGGGAAACGAAUUUUGUAAUUAAAAUUCAUAUUUGAUGAAGAUUUCAUUACAUGGAAAUUGA